rnacentral:rRNA from 1 species
AAUGGGCGCAAGCCUGAUCCAGCCAUGCCGCGUGAGUGAUGAAGGCCCUAGGGUCGUAAAGCUCUUUCGCCUGUGAAGAUAAUGACGGUAGCAGGUAAAGAAACCCCGGCUAACUCCGUGCCAGCAGCCGCGGUAAUACGGAGGGGGUUAGCGUUGUUCGGAAUUACUGGGCGUAAAGCGCGCGUAGGCGGAUUAGUCAGUCAGAGGUGAAAUCCCAGGGCUCAACCCUGGAACUGCCUUUGAUACUGCUAGUCUUGAGUUCGAGAGAGGUAAGUGGAAUUCCGAGUGUAGAGGUGAAAUUCGUAGAUAUUCGGAGGAACACCAGUGGCGAAGGCGGCUUACUGGCUCGAUACUGACGCUGAGGUGCGAAAGUGCGGGGAGCAAACAGGAUU